rnacentral:rRNA from 1 species
AGUGAACGCUGGCGGUAGGCCUAACACAUGCAAGUCGAACGGCAGCACAGGAGAGCUUGCUUUCUGGGUGGCGAGUGGCGGACGGGUGAGGAAUACAUCGGAAUCUACUCUGUCGUGGGGGAUAACGUAGGGAAACUUACGCUAAUACCGCAUACGACCUACGGGUGAAAGCAGGGGAUCUUCGGACCUUGCGCGAUUGAAUGAGCCGAUGUCGGAUUAGCUAGUUGGCGGGGUAAAGGCCCACCAAGGCGACGAUCCGUAGCUGGUCUGAGAGGAUGAUCAGCCACACUGGAACGGAGACACGGUCCAGACUCCUACGGGAGGCAGCAGUGGGGAAUAUUGGUCAAUGGGCGCAAGCCUGAUCCAGCCAUACCGCGUGGGUGAAGAAGGCCUUCGGGUUGUAAAGCCCUUUUGUUGGGAAAGAAAUCCAGCUGGCUAAUACCCGGUUGGGAUGACGGUACCCAAAGAAUAAGCACCGGCUAACUUCGUGCCAGCCGCCGCGGUAA